UUUUAAAUUUCAUCCAUUUAUACGGUUAAAACUGACAUAGUUAAUAGAAUAAUCAGAGAUUAACAUGUGAAAUGCCACUUUUACCUCAUGCUGAUGUAUAAAGAUCAAAUUUUAACUGUAGAAAUAAAUAAAAAAUUUUAAAA
rfam:Gossypium raimondii Chr06_contig_896, whole genome shotgun sequence.